UUGAGGUAAAGUAAAAGUAGGAUAGAGAUCCCAAUCUAGUUAAGUUGAAAGAAUCAAUAAAGAUCAGAAAGUGGAGGUUGUAUCCCAAGGGGGAUAUGGUGUUUUACGUUGUCAAGAUAGAUUGGGUGUGCCUGAUGUAGAAGAUUUGAGGCAACGAAUUCUUGCAGAAGUGCAUGGUGCGCGUUACUCUAUUCAUCUAGGGGCCACUAAGAUGUACCAUAAUUUGUGGGAGAUCUAUUG
rnacentral:lncRNA from 1 species